rnacentral:lncRNA from 1 species
CCCCACGGCGGCGGGGAAACCCCGAGGCAAGCCCCUGAAGAGGCCGGGCCUCCUCCCACCCAAGCCCUCGGUCCUCGGGGAGACUGCCGUUGCCUAAGGAAGCUCCCUGGAACCGCCCGCCGGGUGAAAGAGCCACGCCGCUGCCCUUCCCGCCUCCCUCAAGUCACGUCCCCGCGAGAAAAAAAAAUCAGUCCCUCAGAAAGCACCGAAGGCGGAAUACACUCCACCUCCCCACCCGUCUUCCCUAACCAGGAAUUGGCGGGACACCAACAUGGGGGGCGGGGGUUGCGAGGCGAGGAGAGCGGCUGCAAGUUUCACCGGCCGGCCGGCCGGGGGCGUGGGGGCACUGCCCCUAACGGGGAGCCUUCCCUCGGCCACUUGGAGACAAAUACGGGCCUGGCCCCUCUCCGACACGAAAUAACCCCUUUCCAGGCUUCUUUGCCCCGCCCGGACUUUCCUCCAGCAUUAGCCGCUCUUGUGGACAGGGGUUGCCUUCGCUUCCUCUCCCCGUUCGAGAUUCUCCCCGCUGUUGCCCCCCCCCACGGCCCCGUUCCCCCUCCCGCGCUUUUUCCUGAGGAGGGCUUGAGCCCAGGACAGUGGGCGGGCGGGAAGGAGUACCUGGGGUGGGCGAGUGGCGGCCGACGGGGGAAGGCGGCGUGUGCGCCCGACCGCCCACGCGGCCGUUCCACCGCCGUCGCCGCCUCCUCCUCCUCCGGGGAGCCCAGCGCUGACAAAGCGAGCGAGCGGAGGAAAAGGCAGCCAGGAUCCGGCCCCUGCCUGCCGGCGCCUCCUCCUCCUCCUCCUGCUGGUGCUCUUGCUGCCGUUGCCGGCGAGCUCUCGGCUCGCCCUGCGGAAAGGAGGCAGAGCCAGGCUCCUCCGGCGCCUGCAGCGGCUGCCUCGGCCGUCGCCGGAGAGAUCACCCGCGGAGGGAAGGCAGGCAGGCAGGCUUGCGCUCGGACGUCCGGUCUUCCCUCCAGCCUCGCCCCGCGCUCCUCGCUCCAGCCGCCGCCGCCAGCAGCAGCAGCACCAACAUCCGGCGGCUCCCAGGGCUCGCCUGACCGGCGCCCUUGGGGUGCAUGGAAACGGCUGCUGCAGCCCGCGCGGCGGCGGCGGCGGCGGCGGCUGCCCCAUGGAGUGUUAUUACAUUGUCAUCAGCUCGGCGCACCUCAGCAAUGGGCACUUUCGCAACAUCAAGGGGGUUUUCCGAGGUCCGCUCAGCAAAAACGGCAACAAAACUCUGAGGAGAGCGUGAAAACGACAGCAACAAAAAUAUGUGUGGUGGAGGACUUGGACCAAGAGAUUCAUGAUUGUACAUGGCACAAGCGAGACCAUACGAGGCAGAUCCACUGGCUUUUUCCCACUGCCAACAUAAGGACAGGAGCCUUUCAGCACAGCUGGGGACAACUGCGGGGAGCCAAGUCUUGGAAAUGGCCAUUAGUAAAGUCUUGGCAGGCACAAACUAGAGGCACAUGAUGCCCGAGCAUGGGUAAUUUUGUUAUUUGACAUUGGAAGGACCUUGGGCUGUUUUAGCUUUGUCUUUUAAAGCCUGCAGCCAGUUUAAGGGCAGUUUAAAGAGAGGUGUACAGCUGUUUUUCUGCAGAUAUUGACUGUGCCUCUUGCAGAUGAACGCACAGUUUGGGAAAGAAGAAAAAGGGGAAAGUUGCAUUUAUUAAAUGUGCCGCUUAGAGGCAGACAUAAUAACUGGAAGACAAGGACGUAUGUGUACUAGGGAAAAAGCAGUGGAAUAGAAGCAAAAAAAGAAAAAGAAAUCAUACAUACCUCAUCUCAGACCCUUUUGGCAUUGAGUGAAACCAGAUUUAUGAAGGAAAGAAGCAAGUUUUCAUUCCUCCUGAAUUAACUUGUUUGGCAGUGCUCAAUAGAAGCCAGAGUUCCUUGUGGCUAAGCCCCAGAACAUUGUUUCAUUGCUUAGGCUCAUUGACUAUGAAUAACUGCAGCCAGCUCCUAUGCUUCUGAGAUUAGCUGGCAAAGUAUCUGAAACAGCAGGCAUGACUUCCGUUGCCUUUUUGCCUUCUUGCUCUUACUGCAUUUGUACAUCGUAAUUUGAAUAGAAACAUCUGUCUUCAGGUUUUCCAUAAGCCAAAGAUUAAGGAUGUUGACAUAUAUCAAAUCUGCAUCCAUGGACACUUUGCUUUUCCACCUCCACCUCCAGGUUGUGCCCUGUUUUGAGGCUUUCUUUUUUUAAUGGAACAAAAUAGAUCAUCCCCUUGCUUUCUUUUAAACUACAU